UACGGGGGGGGCAAGCGUUGUUCGGAAUUACUGGGCGUAAAGGGUUCGUAGGUGGCUUGCUAAGUCAGACGUGAAAUCCCUCAGCUUAACUGGGGAACUGCGUCUGAUACUGGCGAGCUUGAGUGCAGGAGAGGAACGCGGAAUUCCAGGUGUAGCGGUGAAAUGCGCAGAUAUCAGGAAGAACACCAAUGGCGAAAGCAGCUCUCUGGGACGGUACUGACGCUGAGACGCGAAAGCGUGGGGAGCGAACAGG
rnacentral:rRNA from 1 species